rnacentral:lncRNA from 1 species
UUUUAUCUCGAUAUUUUUGCAGCCCUGAUAACAUGAACAUUCACCAUAAUGCAUGACUCAACUUUAUGUUUAUCGAAUUUUAGAUUCUACAUAAAUUGUGUAUGCCUUAUAUCCAUAAUUGUUGAAUUAUGUGAAUUUGAUAUUGCCAUGCAUUAAAUUAUUUGAAUACAUAUGCAUUGAAUUGAUUGAAAAAAAAUAUAUAUUAAAAUAUGAUUCUUCUAGGGUUCUUUGAACCCAGGACCCGAGUAAAC